AUUGAACGCUGGCGGCAGGCCUAACACAUGCAAGUCGAGCGGAGCGGCGGACGGGUGAGUGAUGCCUAGGAAUCUACCUGGUAGUGGGGGAUAAAGUACGGAAACGGGCGCUAAUACCGCAUACUAUCAGAUGAGCCGAGGGCGGAUUAGCUAGUUGGUGGUGUAAAGGACGAACAAGGCGACGAUCCGUAACUGGGCUGAGAGGAGGAUCAGGCACACUGGAACUGAGACACGGUCCAUACUCGUACGGUAGGCAGCAGUGGGGAAUAUUGGACAAUGGGCGAAAGCCUGAUCCAGCCAUGCCGCGUGUGUGAAGAAGGUUUUCGGACUUUAAAGCACUUUAAGUUGGGAGGCGGUACCAACAGAAUAAGCACCGGCUAACUUCGUGCCAGCAGCCGCGGUAAUAC
rnacentral:rRNA from 1 species